UACGUAGGGUGCAAGCGUUAAUCGGAAUUACUGGGCGUAAAGCGUGCGCAGGCGGUUAUGUAAGACAGAUGUGAAAUGCCCGGGCUUAACCUGGGAACUGCAUUUGUGACUGCAUGGCUAGAGUUUGGCAGAGGGGGGUAGAAUUCCACGUGUAACAGUGAAAUGCGUAGAUAUGUGGAGGAACACCGAUGGCGAAGGCAGCCCCCUGGGUCAAGACUGACGCUCAUGCACGAAAGCGUGGGGAGCAAACAGG
rnacentral:rRNA from 1 species